rnacentral:rRNA from 1 species
CCUACGGGGGGCUGCAGUGAGGAAUAUUGGUCAAUGGGCGAAAGCCUGAUGCAGCAACGCCGCGUGAAGGAAGAAGGGUUUCGGCUCGUAAACUUCUAUCAACAGGGACGAAAGAAAUGACGGUACCCGAAUAAGAAGCCCCGGCUAACUACGUGCCAGCAGCCGCGGGAAUACGCAGGGGGCAAGCGUUAUCCGGAAUUACUGGGUGUAAAGGGUGAGUAGGCGGCAUGGUAAGCCAGAUGUGAAAGCCUUGGGCUUAACCCGAGGAUUGCAUUUGGAACUAUCAAGCUAGAGUGCAGGAGAGGAAAGCGGAAUUCCUAGUGUAGCGGUGAAAUGCGUAGAUAUUAGGAAGAACACCAGUGGCGAAGGCGGCUUACUGGACUAAAACUGACGCUGAGGCACGAAAGCGUGGGGAGCGAACAGGAUUAGAUACCCUAGUAGUC